GGGGCUAUGAUGUUAGUGGUAGCAUAGUUGACUCUUAAUCAAUCCGUCUGAGUUCGAUUCUCAGUGGCCCUACCA
rnacentral:tRNA from 1 species